rnacentral:rRNA from 1 species
CAGUCGCCACGGUAAUACGUAGGUGGCAAGCGUUGUCCGGAAUUAUUGGGCGUAAAGGGCUCGCAGGCGGUUUCUUAAGUCUGAUGUGAAAGCCCCCGGCUCAACCGGGGAGGGUCAUUGGAAACUGGGAAACUUGAGUGCAGAAGAGGAGAGUGGAAUUCCACGUGUAGCGGUGAAAUGCGUAGAGAUGUGGAGGAACACCAGUGGCGAGGGCGACUCUCUGGUCUGUAACUGACGCUGAGGAGCGAAAGCGUGGGGAGCGAACAAGAUUAGAUACCCCGGUAGUCCCUGUCUCUUAUAC